rnacentral:tRNA from 1 species
UUAGGGUUGGAACCCAGUGGCAGAGCACUUGCCUAGCAUGCAUGGGGCUCUAGGUUCAAUCCCUAAUACUACA